rnacentral:piRNA from 1 species
GAGCGAGGUGAGAAGCUAGAUGACUU